rnacentral:rRNA from 1 species
GAUGAACGCUGACAGCAUGCUUAACACAUGCAAGUCUACUUGAACUUCGGUUUGGGUGGCGGACGGGUGAGUAACGCGUAAAGAACUUGCCUCACAGAUAGGGACAACAUUUGGAAACGAAUGCUAAUACCUGAUAUUAUGAUUUUAGGGCAUCCUAGAAUUAUGAAAGCUAUAUGCACUGUGAGAGAGCUUUGCGUCCCAUUAGCUAGUUGGAGAGGUAACGGCUCACCAAGGCGAUGAUGGGUAGCCGGCCUGAGAGGGUGAUCGGCCACAAGGGGACUGAGACACGGCCCUUACUCCUACGGGAGGCAGCAGUGGGGAAUAUUGGACAAUGGACCAAGAGUCUGAUCCAGCAAUUCUGUGUGCACGAUGAAGUUUUUCGGAAUGUAAAGUGCUUUCAGUUGGGAAGAAAAAAAUGACGGUACCAACAGAAGAAGAGACGGCUAAAUACGUG